rnacentral:rRNA from 1 species
GAUGAACGCUGGCGGCGUGCCUAAUACAUGCAAGUCGAGCGAACGGACGAGAAGCUUGCUUCUCUGAUGUUAGCGGCGGACGGGUGAGUAACACGUGGAUAACCUACCUAUAAGACUGGGAUAACUUCGGGAAACCGGAGCUAAUACCGGAUAAUAUUUUGAACCGCAUGGUUCAAAAGUGAAAGACGGUCUUGCUGUCACUUAUAGAUGGAUCCGCGCUGCAUUAGCUAGUUGGUAAGGUAACGGCUUACCAAGGCAACGAUGCAUAGCCGACCUGAGAGGGUGAUCGGCCACACUGGAACUGAGACACGGUCCAGACUCCUACGGGAGGCAGCAGUAGGGAAUCUUCCGCAAUGGGCGAAAGCCUGACGGAGCAACGCCGCGUGAGUGAUGAGGGUCUUCGGAUCGUAAAACUCUGUUAUUAGGGAAGAACAUAUGUGUAAGUAGCUGUGCACAUCUUGACGGUACCUAAUCAGAAAGCCACGGCUAACUACGUG